rnacentral:misc_RNA from 1 species
CAUAUGCUUACCUAAGGAGCUUCUGAUUGCAUGAAUGAUUUAAUACAACUUAUCAAAGUUGAUAUCACAGCCUGUGUAUCUCAAUGAGAAUUGAUAUUUUACUUAAAAUUAUUAGGCAAGUGUUAAGCCCCAAGAUUCUUCUGGCUUAACCAAGAUGUUUGAGCAGGCAUAAAGAGAGGAGAAAUGAGAAAGAAAAGGAGAGAGAAGGAAGAAGCAGCGGAGAAAGUGAAGAAAGACAGAGAUAAGAAGAAAGGGAAGAUUUAGGAGAGAGGAGAAGAAGAAUUUAG